rnacentral:tRNA from 1 species
GGGCGGCUAGCUCAGUUGGAAGAGCGCCUCGUUCGCAACGAGGAGGCCGGGGGUUCGAGUCCCCUGCCGUCCACCA